rnacentral:rRNA from 1 species
GACGAACGCUGGCGGCGUGCUUAACACAUGCAAGUCGAACGGAAAGGCCCUGCUUGCAGGGUACUCGAGUGGCGAACGGGUGAGUAACACGUGGGUGAUCUGCCCUGCACUUCGGGAUAAGCCUGGGAAACUGGGUCUAAUACCGGAUAGGAGCCAUUUUUAGUGUGAUGGUUGGAAAGUUUUUUCGGUGUAGGAUGAGCUCGCGGCCUAUCAGCUUGUUGGUGGGGUAAUGGCCUACCAAGGCGGCGACGGGUAGCCGGCCUGAGAGGGUGGACGGCCAUAUUGGGACUGAGAUACGGCCCAGACUCCUACGGGAGGCAGCAGUGGGGAAUAUUGCACAAUGGGCGCAAGCCUGAUGCAGCGACGCCGCGUGGGGGAUGACGGCCUUCGGGUUGUAAACUCCUUUCGCUAGGGACGAAGCUUUUUGUGACGGUACCUAGAGAAGAAGCACCGGCUAACUACGUG